rnacentral:rRNA from 1 species
AUUGAACGCUGGCGGCGUGCCUAACACAUGCAAGUCGAGCGGUAACAGGUGUAGCAAUACAUGCUGACGAGCGGCGGACGGGUGAGUAACGCUUGGGAAUCUGCCUAUUAGUGGGGGACAACCCGGGGAAACUCGGGCUAAUACCGCAUACGCUCUACGGAGGAAAGCCGGGGACCGCAAGGCCUGGCGCUAAUAGAUGAGCCCAAGUCGGAUUAGCUAGUUGGUAGGGUAAUGGCCUACCAAGGCGACGAUCCGUAACUGGUCUGAGAGGACGACCAGUCACACCGGAACUGAGACACGGUCCGGACUCCUACGGGAGGCAGCAGUGGGGAAUAUUGGACAAUGGGCGAAAGCCUGAUCCAGCGACGCCGCGUGGGUGAAGAAGGCCUGCGGGUU